GAGAUUUGGGGCUGAUUGGGCUGAAUUUGGGGUCAGUUCAUGAGAGUUUGGGGUCAGAUGCUGAGAUUUGGGGUCAGAUGCUGAGAUUUGGGGUCAUUUCAUGAGAGUUUGGGGUCAGGAGCUGAGAUUUGGGGUCAGGUGCUGAGAUUUGGGGUCAGGUGCUGAGAUUUGGGGCCAAUUCAGCUGAAUUUGGGGUCAUUUCCUGAGAUUUGGGGUCGUUUUGUGGGAGUUUGGGGUGGAUUCUUUGGGAUUUGGGGUCAGGUCCUGCGAUUUUGGGGUCGAUCCCGGGGAUUUUGGGGUCACUUCUGUGCAAUUUGGGGUCGAUUCGGUUCCCAUUCCCCCCUCUUGGGGUCCCAAUCCCAAACAUUUGGGGUCGUUUCCUGGCAAUUGGGGUCCGCUGUGCCAAAUCCCAUUGAAUCCCCCCCAACUUCUGCCCCUAUUGGUGCCCCCCCUCCAAGUGCCUUCACCCACCCCAAAAAUGGGGGGGGUCCCCCGACCCCACAAUGUGCCCCCCCGACCCCACAAUCCACCCCUAAGACCCAUAACUCCCCCCCCCAGCCUUCCCCGACCCCAUAACCCCCCAGGUGCACCCCAACCCCACAAGGUGCCCCAUAACCCCCCCCCGACCCCUCAUCCUGACCCCACUAUGUGCCCCCCCCAACCCCAUAACCCACCCAUUAACCCUCCCCCAGCCCCCCCCCCCGACCCCAUAACCCCCCAAGGCGCACCCCAACCCCACAGUGUGCCCCAUAACCCCCCCCGACCAACCCCACAUCCUGACCCCAUAACCCCCCCCCAACCCCACAUCCUGACCCCACUUUGUGCCCUCCCCGACCCCACAACCCCCCAAGGCGCACCCCAACCCCACAAGGUGCCCCGUAACCCCCCCGAACAACCCCACAUCCUGACCCCAUAACCCCCCCCGACCCCACAUCCUGACCCCACUAUGUGCCCCCCCAACCCCACAUCCUGACCCCACAAUGUGCCCCCCUCGACCCCACAUCCUGACCCCAUAACCCCCCCCCCAACCCCACAUCCUGACCCCACUAUGUGCCCCCCCAACCCCACAUCCUGACCCCACAAUGUGCCCCCCCGACCCCACAUCCUGACCCCACUAUGUGCCCCCCCCGACCCCAUAACCCACCCUUUAACCCUCCCCCACCCCCCCCCGACCCCACAACCCCCCAAGGCGCACCCCAACCCCACAAUGUGCCCCCUGAGCCCCCAACCCACCCUGACCCCAUAACCCCCCUCCCCAACCCCACAUCCUGACCCCACUAUGUGCCCCCCCCUCAACCCCAUAACCCCCCAAGGCGCACCCCAACCCCACAAUGUGCCCCAUAACCCCCCCCCAACCCCACAUCCUGACCCCAUAACCCCCCCCCAACCCCACAUCCUGACCCCACUAUGUGCCCGACCCCAUAACCCCCCAAGGCACACCCCAACCCCACAAUGUGCCCCAUAACCCCCCCCCAACCCCACAUGCUGACCCCACUAUGUGCCCCCCCCGACCCCACAUCCUGACCCCACUAUGUGCCCCCCCCCGACCCCAUAACCCCCCCAAACCCCAUAGUGUUACCGCUGUGCCCCACACAGAACGCCGCCCCAUCCGCUAUGGGGUGGGGGUGUGGGGUGGGGGGGACCAAAUGCGCCCCAUAUCCGGGGGGGUUCCGGGGGGGUCAAUAAAGGCGAUGGCGUUCGCUCA
rnacentral:lncRNA from 1 species